UUUCAUCAGACAUUUUUCUCUCGCCCUAGCUUUUCUCUCUGCAACAGAAGAUGAAUAGCUUCCUUCCUCCAUCUGUGAAGGUAUGAUCCCUAUUUUUUCUUCAAUCAAUACCUCGUUGUGUUUUCUUUUUCCAUGAUUUUUCUUAAUCGUGUUUUUCUUGUUAUUAGGGUAUAGUUUAGGGUUAGAGUCUAUGCUUGUUAUUAGGGUUUUCGUUAAACAUAAUUUUAUUUCAUGUUGUUGAAGGAAAAGAUGUUAUGAAUUUGGCUUUUUAUUUCAUGUUGGUACAAAUCAAGUAUCAGAACAUCUCUUGAAAUUGGAUCACCAUUAGAUACAUUGACAACAAUGCUACUAUAUAAAAUAAUUUUACUUUGUAUACUUUCCAUCUAUUUUUUUUAUUUAUAAUUUGUUAUGUGUAUUAUUAACAGAGACAUUGAUAGGGAGGAGUUUAAUAAAGUCAUGGCUUUGAUCAGAUCUCAAAGCAAACAAAACAAGGAUGGCCACAGGCUCAAAGUUUCUGUAGAAGAUGGAGGCCUACUUGAGCACUUCUUUGGCAAAGAUGGCAAAAAAAGUCUCACACAUGAAACAUUUGAGUUUUUUUCCUCAGGCAAUCAGCUCAUCUUUCCCCAUUUUUUUUCCUUCUAUCUAUUUCUGAAUUUGAAGUCUAGAACAAAAGCCAUACAAAUAUUAAGAAAGUUUAUUAAAAAAUUAUAUAGAAGUCUUCUGAAAGUCUAUCAAGUUCUAUACAAAUUCUAAAUUUCCAUCAAGUUCUAUGAAAGGUGGCACUUAAACAAAAUCUUUUUAAAUGCUCUAGAAUCAUAAUUGAAUACAACCCCUAUUUUAUUCUUCUUUCAAUCAACUCACUUGUGAUGAAGUCCCUCCAUUGAUGAAGUGAAACUUGAUUAGCAGCUACUAAAUUUCUUCUCCAAAC
rnacentral:lncRNA from 1 species